rnacentral:rRNA from 1 species
GAUGAACGCUGGCGGCGUGCCUAAUACAUGCAAGUCGAACGCAUAGCGAAAGGUGCUUGCACCUUUCAAGUGAGUGGCGAACGGGUGAGUAACACGUGGACAACCUGCCUCAAGGCUGGGGAUAACAUUUGGAAACAGAUGCUAAUACCGAAUAAAACUUCGUGUCGCAUGACACAAAGUUAAAAGGCGCUUCGGCGUCACCUAGAGAUGGAUCCGCGGUGCAUUAGUUAGUUGGUGGGGUAAAGGCCUACCAAGACAAUGAUGCAUAGCCGAGUUGAGAGACUGAUCGGCCACAUUGGGACUGAGACACGGCCCAAACUCCUACGGGAGGCUGCAGUAGGGAAUCUUCCACAAUGGGCGAAAGCCUGAUGGAGCAACGCCGCGUGUGUGAUGAAGGCUUUCGGGUCGUAAAGCACUGUUGUAUGGGAAGAACAGCUAGAAUAGGAAAUGAUUUUAGUUUGACGGUACCAUACCAGAAAGGGACGGCUAAAUACGUG